GCACCUGAAUCUUUCCCAUGUCUUGCAAAAUACAUGUAGGCCUGGGGACAUGUGGUGCUAAAGCAAAGCAGAGGAAAUCCAGACAAGUCAUUUUUCUCCCUCAUUGCGGGCUUGUUUCUACACCUUUGCAACAUUG